CCCAAAAAAAAAAAAAAAAAAAAAAACUGACAAAACCCGAAGAGAAAAAAAACUUACAUUAAUGAAGCUUACAGAAGAAGAAAGAAAGCAAGCGGAAGCUAACCGGUUAGCUGCGAUCGCAAAGCGAAAAGCGCUACUACAAUCCUCCAGUGCAAACAUUCACUGUCAAGAAAACCAAUCUCAUUAUUGGAGGCUCGCCAAGUGCCCUAAACUCGCAAACGACAAUGCCCAGAUCCCAAAACGACCUCAAGAUGCGAAAUCGAUGCCAGUUUCCAGUACCCAAUUGUCUAAAAAGUUCCAGGCCAGGCUCGAAAUUUGCUCCCCUGACACUUUCUCGAUCACCCCGGAGACGCUGAAGGGUUGUCUCUACCCGGGCGAUGAAGAGUGCUUGCGAAGAUUGGGGGAUGUUUUAUCUGAUGUUAUGCACUCACAUUACACCCAAGACAGUGGAGGUCGAAAGGCAUGUGUUUAUAAGCUCAGGGAUUAUGGUUCUGUUUUGUCAUGUUUAAGGAAGUCAAAGGAUAUUGAGAUCAGGGAGAUACCUCAUUUAACACUAAAAGUUGUUGAAACAUUUUCACAUUGCUUUGUUGCUGGACAAUGGAGACCGUGUAGACCAGAACAUCUAUCUGAUGAGGACGUUGAUGAAUUAAUCACAAAGCUACCGGAAACACUAUUGAAUUCACUUCUGCCUUUUCAACUUGAAGGUAUCAAAUUUGGUUUGCGAAGGGGUGGUCGGUGUCUAAUUGCAGAUGAAAUGGGGCUUGGCAAAACACUCCAGGCUAUUGCUAUUGCUGGUUGUUUCAUUAAUGAAGGUUCUAUUCUCGUUGUUUGCCCUGCUGUUUUGCGUUAUUCAUGGGCAGAAGAAUUGGAGCGGUGGCUAUCCUUUUGUUUACCUUCUGAUAUACAUCUUGUUUUUGGUCAUCGGGAUAAUCCUGCCUACUUAAACAAAUAUCCUAGAGUUGUGGUUAUUUCUUACACUAUGCUUAAACACUUGCGGAAGAGCAUGCUUGAACAUGAAUGGGCUGUAAUAAUAGUUGAUGAAUCUCACCAUCUUCGAUGUUCACGAAAAUCAACUGAAUCAGCAGAGAUACAAACAGUUCUUGAUUUGGCGGAGAAGGUCAGGCGUAUAGUACUCUUAUCAGGAACACCUUCUUUGUCAAGGCCAUAUGACAUUUUUCAUCAGAUAAAUAUUUUGUGGCCUGGUUUGUUGGGAGUGACCAAGUACAAGUUUGCAGAAACUUACUGUGAUGUCAACUUUGCUCAGACCACUCAAGGUUUUAAGGAUUUCUCAAAGGGUGUUCGCUUGGAGGAGUUGAAUGUGUUACUUAGCCAAACAGUCAUGAUAAGACGUCUGAAGCAGCAUGUCCUGGUCCAGUUACCUCCCAAACGUCGGCAGCUUAUAAGGUUGCAUUUGAAGAAAUCCGACAUAGCUUCAGCCAAGGCGGCUGUCAGUUUUUCCAAUGCUGAUGCUUUUGAAAAUAAUGCUUCCAACGAUAUUGCUAUGGAGAAACUGGGUGGAAACAAUGUUAAUUAUGGACAUUUCUAUGGCAUUCACAAUUGCAAUUCUAGUGAACUUUCUUAUCAAGAACUUGGUGUUGCAAAGCUUCGUGGAUUUCAUCAAUGGUUUUCUAAUCACCCACUAAUUGCAAAUUCAGAUGGCGUGGAAGAAUUUGAUUUAAACUCCAGUUCUCAUAAAAUGAUAAUUUUUGCCCAUCACCAUAAAGUUCUUGAUGGAAUACAGGACUUCGUAUGUGAGAAAGGAAUUAGUUUUGUCCGUAUUGAUGGAACCACACUUCCAAAAGAUCGACAAUCAGCUGUACUGUCAUUUAAAUCACCAAAUGGGGCCAAAAUCGCAAUAAUUGGAAUAACUGCUGGGGGUGUUGGACUCGAUUUUUCAUCAGCAAAACAUGUUGUGUUUUUGGAGUUGCCUCAGUCACCAUCUUUGAUGCUUCAGGCUGAGGAUAGAGCUCAUAGACGAGGGCAAACAAGCGCGGUCAACAUUUACAUCCUCUUGGCAAAGGAUACUUUGGAUGAGUUACAUUGGCAAAAUCUAAACAAGAGUCUGCACCGUGUUUCAUCUACAACAAAUGGAAAAUAUGACGCAAUGAAAGAGAUAGAAGUUGAAGGCAUUUCUUAUAUGGUUACACCUGAUACAAAUUGCAAACAUAAAAUUUUGGUGAAAGAAACACCUGGAAAACUUUCAUUAGAUUUAGAGCAGCUGCAAGACCCUGCAUGUUCCCAGGAAUUGCAGCCUUCAGAAGCAUUUGCUGAUGUUGCUGUUGAAAUGAAUGAUGGAUCUGACACAAUGAAUCAAACUGGUGACAGCUACAAUAACAGUGAUGUUAAAGGCAUUUCUGAUAUGGUAACACCUUAUGCAAAUUGUAAGCAAAAAAUUUUGAUGAAAGAAGCACCUGGAAAACUUUCACUGGAUUUAGAGCAGCAGCAAGACCCUGAAUAUUCCCAGGAUUUGCAGCCUUCAGAAGCAUUUGCUAAUGUUGCUGUUGAAAUGAAUGACGGAUCUGACACAAUGAAUCAAACUGGUGACAGCUACAGUCAUAAUGAUGCUGGUGUGGUUCCUGAUCGACAACUCCAAGAUCUUAAUUCCAUGGGAAAUGAAAAAGAAUUGCAUCCUUCUGCAGCUGAUAUUGGAAGAUGUGACGUAUGCCCUCCUUUUAAAAUGGAUAACAGAAGCAAAGAUCAAGAGCCACUGCCAAAUGGAAAGAUAACCACAGCAGAUGUUGGUGCACCAGUUCAACCAUCAGACGCUGAAUGUAAUUCUAUUCAAGUUGAUUCUCUACGGUUUGAGGUAAGUGCCCAUACUGGAAGAAUCCACCUGUAUUCCUGCAUCCAAGGGAAAGAUUUGAGACCUGUGCCACUUUUUGAGAAUUUUCGACAAGAGGAAAUUGAGUUAGAAAAUGCUCUUGCUUGUGGGAGUAAGGAAACAGUUUCCAAAUAUUUCAAGGACAACCCCGCAUAUAGGCAUGUUCUUUGGGCCUUCAUUGAUGAAUGGAAUAAUCUAAGACCCAUUGAACAAAGAAAACUACGUGGAAAGCCUUUGCAACUCCCUUUGUCUGUUGAGUUAUGCUACUUGAAGGAAAGCAUUAACCAUAAUACUGGGGGACUGCUAAAAGGUGGGAGCAAGCGCCGCACAACACCUUUUUGUGAGAUAAAUGUUUCUUUGCCUCCAAAUGCUGUGUGGAAAAAGGUCCAUCUACAGCGUAGUUACAGUAAAAAGGAGAAAGAGUAUACUCAGGGUUGGUCGCUGACUGAUGAACCACUCUGUAAACUCUGCCAAAAACCAUGCGAGGGGAGAAAUGCCAAGAGUCCCGAAUAUUUUGAGGAUCUUUUUUGUAAUCUUGGCUGCUAUGAAGAAUACCGCCUAAGAACUAGCAGCAGUUUCAUCCGUGAGGAACUUUUUCAACUUGAGCACGGUAUCUGCACAAAUUGCCAAUUAGACUGUCACCAACUUGUGAAGCACUUAAAACCUUUAUCGUUAGAGAGGCAGCGGGAGUAUAUUGCAAGAGUAGCACCAAAGAUUGCAAGUCAGAAGAGCUUGGUUGACAAGCUUGUUAGUGAUCCUUCCGAGGGCAAUGCAUGGCAUGCAGACCACAUUGUCCCUGUUUAUAGAGGUGGAGGUGAAUGCAGGCUAGAGAACAUGAGGACUCUUUGUGUGGCCUGUCAUGCUGUUGUUACUGCAGCACAAUGCAUUGAACGUCGUUCAAUUCGGACCAAAGCAAAGAAAAAGCUUAAAGCCAUCAUGGCUGACCUCAAAAAAGCUGAGAAUAUGGAAAAGAAUUCUUCUUGUGGAAAGGAUCAGGGACCCUCAGAGAUUGUUGAGGACAUACCAGAGGAUGAACUUCUAGUCAAUGUACCUGGUAGUGCUUAUUCUGGAGGACUAAACUGCAGCAUUCAAUCUGAGUUGAAGAAUCCCCCAAACACUUAAUGGUCAUCAAACUGAAAAGUGAAAAAGCAUCCUCCAUUUCAUCCUAUAAUCCUAUAAUGUCUUGCAUUGGCUGACUUGAACUCAUCCCUUUUGAUCUGUUGUGUACAACAUCGACACAAUCUUCCAACAGAGGAACGAAGUGCAUAUAAAUAUGGGUGCUGCCUUAAGCAUAUGGGUUGAGCGGCACGUCUGAGACCUAACAGGCUCGAUCCAUGUUAGAAUUAAGUGAUCUGAAUCCUUAUUAAAAUAAAAUACAAUAAUAAAAUAAAAUAAAAGGAAAAUUCAUAUAGAACUAUACUUCUUUUAUUUUAUUUUAGAAUAAGAUUUUUCAAUCUUAUUACACUUCAUCUAUUUGAUAUUGAUUAGAAUAAAGUGUUUCAAUCUUACUACAAUCAUUCUAUUAUAAUAUGGUUUUACAAGCCUAUAAAUAGGCAUAAUUUACUCUUCUUGUAAUUAUUUGAAUUUGACAUAGUGAAUUAUCUUUUUCUCUGUCCGUGAUUUUUUUCGGAAAGGGUUUUCAGGUAAAAAUCUGUUUUCUUUAUUUUUCUCUUUUUCUUUGCGAUACUUUGUCAUUAUCAACGUUUUAUUUUUUACAAAUUGGUAUUAGAGCUUCUGGGUUAUUCAUUUCUAUCAUGGCAAUGGCGUCUUUAAAGUAUGAAAUUAUGUUAUUGGAUCGCAACACUAGAUUCGCGUUGUGGCAGAUAAAGAUGCAGACAGUUCUUACACAGACAAACUUAGAGGAUGCCCUACUAAAGAUAAAUAUGAUGCCUUCAACAUUGACGGAGGAAGAGAAAUGUAAAUAUCGAAAGGCGUUAACACAGUUACAUCUGCAUUUGUCUAACGAAAUUUUGCAGGAUGUGACGAAGGAAAAGAUUGCCGCUACAUUAUGAAAGAGACAAACAAAUAUGUAUGUCAAAAACUCUAAUCAGCAAGUUGCAAAUAAAGCAGUGUCUUUAUACUCAUCGUUUGGAGGAAGGUGCGUCUUUGCACGUACAUUUGAAGGCCAUAAAAGUUCAAUAUGAUAAGGAAGAUUUAGGAUUGAUUCUACUUUAUUUGUUGCCUCCAUCUUAUUCAACUUUUAAAGACACGAUUUUAUAUAGCUGUGAGUGUCUCACAGUUGAUGAAGUUUAUGAUUCUUUGACCUCGUAUGAUAAAAUGAAGUAUCUUGUGGUUAAA